GAUUGCUUGCAAUCCUGAGUAGAGUGGCGCACGGGUGAGUAACACGUAGAUAAUCUACCUUCAAGCCCGGGAUAACUAUUCGAAAGGAUGGCUAAUACCGGAUGAAGUGUUUUGACCCAAGUUGAAACAUGAAAGAUUGCCUAUCCUUGGAAGCAAUUGUUUGGAGAUGAGUUUGCGGACCAUUAGCUUGUUGGUGGGGUAAAGGCCUACCAAGGCAACGAUGGUUAGCUGGUCUGAGAGGAUGAUCAGCCACACUGGAACUGGUACACGGUCCAGACUCCUACGGGAGGCAGCAGUGAGGAAUUUUGCGCAAUGGGGGCAACCCUGACGCAGCAACGCCGCGUGAGUGAAGAAGGCCUUUGGGUCGUAAAGCUCUGUCGACAGGGAAGAAAUUACAAUCAUCCAAUAGGUGUUUGUAUUGACGGUACCUGUAGAGGAAGCACCGGCUAACUCCGUGCCAGCAGCCGCGGUAAUACGGGGGGUGCAAGCGUUAUUCGGAAUUAUUGGGCGUAAAGGGCGCGUAGGCGGUUUUGUCGGUCAGAUGUGAAAGCCCGGGGCUCAACCCUGGAAGUGCAUUUGAAACAGCAAGACUUGAGUACGGGAGAGGAAAGCGGAAUUCCUGGUGUAGAGGUGAAAUUCGUAGAUAUCAGGAGGAACACCGAUGGCGAAGGCAGCUUUCUGGACCGAUACUGACGCUGAGGCGCGAAGGUGUGGGUAGCGAACGGGAUUAGAUACCCCGGUAGUCCACACAGUAAACGAUGUUCACUAGGUGUAUCGGGUAUUAAAAUCUGAUGUGCCCAAGCUAACGCAUUAA
rnacentral:rRNA from 1 species